ACGCCGCGUGUAUGAUGAAGGCCUUCGGGUUGUAAACUCCUUUCGGACGGGAAGAAAGCCAUGCGGGUUAUUACCCCGUGUCCCUGACGGUACCGUUCAAGGAAGCCCCGGCUAACUCCUUGCCAGCAGCCGCGGUAAUACGGGGGGGGCAAGCGUUGUUCGGAAUUACUGGGCGUAAAGGGCGCGUAGGCGGUCGGCCAAGUCGGACGUGAAAUCCCUCGGCUCAACCGGGGAACUGCAUCCGAUACUGGUUGACUUGAAGCCGGGAGGGGAUAGUGGAAUUCCUGGUGUAGCGGUGAAAUGCGUAAAUAUCUGGAGGAACACCGGUGGCGAAGGCGGCUUCCUGGACCGGACUUGACGCUGAGGAGCGAAAGCCGGGGGAGCAAACGGGAUUAAAUACCCCGGUAGUCCUGGCCGUAAACGAUGAACGCUUGGUGUGGGGGGUAUUGAUCCCUGCCGUGCCGAAGCUAACGCAUUAAGUCUUCCGCCUGGGGA
rnacentral:rRNA from 1 species